CCCCUCUCAGGAUCGCAUCUGGAGAGUUUCCAGUACUCUAUGAGUCUCGGCUACAGGAGAGAAAGUCAAGUAGAGGAGUACCCAUUCCAUUCCUAGCUUGGGCAGUGGCUAGCAAGUGGAAGGCAAUCCACUACAAUU